CAGCCCUAAACGAUGCGCGUUAGGUGUAUCGGUGACCACGAGUCACCGAGGUGCCGAAGGGAAACCGUGAAACGUGCCGCCUGGGAAGUACGGUCGCAAGGCUGAAACUUAAAGGAAUUGGCGGGGGAGCACCGCAACGGGAGGAGCGUGCGGUUCAAUUGGAUUCAACGCCGGACAACUCACCAGGAGCGACGGUUACAUGAAGGCCAGGCUGAUGACCUUGCCUGAUUUUCCGAGAGGAGGUGCAUGGCGUCAGUGACU
rnacentral:rRNA from 1 species